UACGAAGGGGGCUAGCGUUGUUCGGAAUUACUGGGCGUAAAGCGCGCGCAGGCGGUCCUUUAAGUCAGGGGUGAAAGCCCAGAGCUCAACUCUGGAACUGCCUUUGAAACUAGAGGACUUGGGUACGGGAGAGGUGAGUGGAAUUCCGAGUGUAGAGGUGAAAUUCGUAGAUAUUCGGAAGAACACCAGUGGCGAAGGCGGCUCACUGGCCCGUUACAGACGCUCAGGCGCGACAGCGUGGGGAGCAAACAGG
rnacentral:rRNA from 1 species